AACACUUAUUUACACCUGUUAGUGCAGGGGGACGUCCGCUAAUCCUCCUUAACGCAAGACGACAGGGGAAACGUACGCCGUUGCACUGGUCGUGACACGCAGUGAAAGAGCUCUGCCAGGGUGAGCGAGGUAGAGACUACAAAAAAAAAAGAAAAUCGGGUGUCUUUUGCAGGAUUUCAUUAAGUAUUUUCCACACUGGGGCAAGCUUUGUCUCUCAAAGAGCAGGCAGCUGUUUGGAUGCACGGUGAAAGCAGAAAGGAAAACACGGCUCCAAAUUUCCUGUUACUUUUUCUGUUCAGAAGUGGUGAAAUUGGACUGGAGAUCCAAUCUUUUGAACAUUGGCAGCAUGAAAGAGAUGGAGAGCGCUAUUAGCAGUUUUAAGCCAGACCAUCUGCUUUGACUCCAGGGUGUUUGAUCUUUUUCUUGCUAGAAAAACGUUUUGAAAAAGUCUUCUGAUUAUUCCCCAUUACACCAAAUAAAUUUUUGCAUUAUUCUC